rnacentral:rRNA from 1 species
CAGUAGCCGCGGAAUACGUAGGUGGCAAGCGUUGUCCGGAAUUAUUGGGCGUAAAGGGCUCGCAGGCGGUUUCUUAAGUCUGAUGUGAAAGCCCCCGGCUCAACCGGGGAGGGUCAUUGGAAACUGGGAAACUUGAGUGCAGAAGAGGAGAGUGGAAUUCCACGUGUAGCGGUGAAAUGCGUAGAGAUGUGGAGGAACACCAGUGGCGAAGGCGACUCUCUGGUCUGUAACUGACGCUGAGGAGCGAAAGCGUGGGGAGCGAACAGGAUUAGAUACCCCAGUAGUCCCUGUCUCUUAUACC